CAGCAGCCGCGGUAAUACAGAGGUGGCAAGCGUUGUUCGGAAUUACUGGGCGUAAAGGGCGCGUAGGCGGCCAUCUAAGUCAGACGUGAAAUCCCCCGGCUUAACCUGGGAACUGCGUCUGAUACUGGGAGGCUAGAGUUUGGGAGAGGGAUGUAGAAUUCCAGGUGUAGCGGUGAAAUGCGUAGAUAUCUGGAGGAAUACCGGUGGCGAAGGCGGCAUCCUGGACCAAUACUGACGCUGAGGCGCGAAAGCUAGGGGAGCAAACGGGAUUAGAUACCCCGGUAGUCCUAGCCCUAAACGAUGAAUACUUGGUGUGGCGGGUAUCGAUCCCUGCCGUGCCGAAGCUAACGCAUUAAGUAUUCCGCCUGGGGAGUACGGUCGCAAGGUUAAAACUUAAAGGAAUUGACGG
rnacentral:rRNA from 1 species